rnacentral:lncRNA from 1 species
CCUAGGCAUCAGUUGCAUUGAAAAAGUAUUUGCACUUUUUACAUUCAUCUGCAGCUGAAUAAUUAGAAGGCAGACUAUUGCCAUCAAGCUAAUCAACUCCCAGAGCUUUGAGUUGCCGUUCAAUCUCUUCAUCUGAUAUGGUAGAAGCUUUUGAUGUUGAUGCAGAUGGUAGACCUCUGGCAGCAGAUGGAGCUUUGGCCAUCUUUCCAGAGAUUUCAAUUCCUAUCUCAUCAAGCACUUGGUUAACAAUAUCCUGGCUUUCCUCCUCUUCAUCAGAAGCAUCAAAAAUAUCAUCUAGAGUAUCGUUAAUCAUUUCUUCAGUCAUUUCCAUCUUCAUAUUUUCCUUCUGGAAAUUCUGCAUAGUUUGUAGUGUCUUUUGUGGAUCCAUUUUCUUAUUAACUGCUUGCAUUGUUUUUGCUGUAGUUGACAUAGCUCCAGCCAUCUUCAUCUGAGAGUUCAUGACCUUUGUUUGAGUUGACAUAGAAGUGACUUUAGAGCUAACAGCGUACGUUCGAUUCUUCUGUUUCCGCAGUUGUACAAGCUGUUUUGCUAGCACUUUGCAGGCUUCCUUAUUACCAGUCUUAGCCAUUUUCUUUAUCUCCAAUUCCAGCUGUUUUUCCUGUUUUUCAAGUGCUGCUCUAUCUCUGGUUAUAGUCCUCUGUGUACCUCUUAACUCUCGGUUUUGCUCCUUUAUUAUAUCGUCCACAGUCUUCUUCUUAAAAAGCGAAGCCAUGCUGGCUGCCGGCCCCGAGCCCGCCGGAACCCCCUGAGCCUCAGCGGGCUCCUUCU